UUUCCGUAGGUGAACCUGCGGAAGGAUCAUUAUCGUAGAGCUUCGGCUCUUUCGAGGGAGAACCCUUGCCUUUUCGAGCACCUGUUUGUUUCCUCGGCAGGCCCGCCUGCCAAUGGGGACCUUUUUAAACCCUUGCGAUAACCUGAACAAAAAUCGUCUGAACAAAAAAAAAAUCUAAAUCAAAACUUUCAACAACGGAUCUCUUGGUUCUG
rnacentral:misc_RNA from 1 species